GGUUGGCGCCGUUGGUCUCGCGAAGUCGGGUCGGUCCUCGUCCCUCGGCACGCCCGCCCCUCCGCACACAGCCGAGAACCGCCCUCUGGUCAGGGUGGGACAGCACCGAGGAGGCCGUGAGCCCCGCUCGGCCCUGCCCGCAAAGGAGCCUUGCACGUGGGCCUCCGGGUAGAGGGCACUGAUCGGAGCGCAGAAGCGCGUUGAAGGCACGUUUAAGGCCGCGGCGGCGUGCGAGUGAGGAAGCUGCCAGGACCCCAGUCGAGGACGUGGGCGGAUGGAGAACGAGCCCGUUUAUCCAUGAAACUGUGCCACGGGCUUGCCGAGUGAGUUUCUGGCGAACGUCUUCACCGCUGAGGACACAAGAGGCCUGUGCAUUUCUAAAUUGGUGGCUGCUCGGAGAACCCAAGGUGGAGUCUUGGGUAAAGGCUGCUGUGAGCCUGGGCCCUGGCACCUGCUCUGGAGUCUAGCUUCCUUCUGACACAUAAAGGAUGGAUGCAGCACCUUGGAAACAGGCCCAGGAGCUGAAGUCCCAGGACAGGCCAGGACUUGGCCACCUGUGGACCACCUGUCUCUGCCCACAGCCAAAGACCACCAGGAACAAAGUUGGAUUUACUGAUUUGUUGCAGUGAGGGAGACUGCAUACGUGUCUAGAUGAGGAGUCCAGGGGCCUCUCAGUCUGAAGGUGUUACAAGGGAGUUAGAAUAGAACUUGUGUUAAGGACUGUGGGGGCAGUUUCAAGAAAGCAGGAUCCAUUCUAUGAUUGGGUAUCUCAAUUUUUAUAUAGAAGCUGAGACAAAAACAGCGGAGCUGAAGCUGUGGUUGGUAAAGAGACAGCCAUCACUUGCGUUAGCUGGGAGUGGGGGACGUUGGGUGGGUUUGGGGGUUUACACAUUGGCCUUGAUUUUGUCUGCCCUCAGACAUGACUGUGGAAGACCUUGCCUGAUGUGAUCCGUGAGAUCGGCUGUAUUCAGCAGCAGAACUUCGCAGUCUCGCUGUGAGCCCCAGGCUGGUCGGAGCCUGCUGCCAGGGACUGCUUUUUCUCUUUCUCACUGCAAAGGCAAAGCCUUGACCUUCAAGUUGCAGCCUUCUCUCUAUCCUAGUCUCAUAUCUUCAUGGUGGGAUAAGGAUCAUCCCAUUGGAAGAGGAAGAAGGGAUGGAUGAGAAUAAG